rnacentral:siRNA from 1 species
AAGGAUGCAGUGAUGUUCGCUUCC